UGAGGAGGAUGUGGAGAAGAAAGGAAAUUCAUCAGAAGGAAGAGGAGGAAAAGAAAAAAAUUAAGAGAGAGAGAAAAAAAAAAAAAAAAAAAAGAAGAGAAAGGAAAUGAGAGGCGGAAAAAAUGGGGGAAAAGACAACUUUCAGAGACUGGAAUUAAAACCCGAGGCUGGAUGUGGGUUCACCCUCCGUGAUGCUCRUUUUCUGGCUGACCAAUCCCAGGUCUCUGGCCCUGGUGAGAGUUCACUGGGAAUAUCCUGAUUGGCUCAUUAUUCCAUGAACGAAGGAGUGGGGGUUUAAUGGAAACCCUUCCCUCCAAAAGCCAUGAGAUCUGAUGAGGAGCCACCAGCAGGACCUUGAGGCACCCUCAAAAGAAGCCCCUCACCACAUCUGAUCCCACUGCAGCCUCCUCCUCUCCCAGGCACACCCUGGAGCGUGAUGUGCACCCUGAUUUUCACCAAUGUCCAUCCUGGCUGACCAGGGCUGCUGACCAGCACCUCGGCGUGGGGACAUCGGCCACGGACAGGGGGACAYCGCCAUCCUGCCACUGCACAUGGCCCUCUCUGGCGAAGAACAUAAGGCUGGAAGAAUAGGAAAAWUUUUUUUUAAAAAUGAAGAAAAGAAAGAAAAAGAGGCUCCAACCCCAGGAAAUCUGUGUUAAUUGCUUAUGAAUGUCUCUGUCUAAAAAAUUAUCGAAUUGAUGUUGUCGUGCUUUUUUUGACAGCCUGUCUGUUACAUUUUUUUAAAAUAUUCAUGCACCGAAAUCUAAUUACUAGGCAAAUUUAAUGAUAAUGAAAUGAAGGCACUUUAGCAGAAAGCACAGGGCCUUGUUAAUGUUUUCUCAGCCUCUGUCUUGUUCAUAUUUUUAAUUUUUUUUUUUUUUACAACUGUCUUUCUUGCAUAUGGAAAAAAAAAAAAGAUUGCUGAAAAUAAAACUCGGAUUGCCGAUAAUGUUU